AGCUCGACGGAGACUUCGUGUUUGGCCAUCCCGACGCUCUUCUCCUGAUAACCGAAAAUCCACUAACGCCUCAAACGGGGGAAGCGUAGUGGGAUCAACCAAGGAAGUUUCCCAAGCGAGUCUCGUGGUUUGAUCCAGCUUUUCGGUGAGGAGGAACGAAAACCAUUCGUCCCACGACUCCACCGGUCGCUCCAAAGAGGCGAGUGCAUUCCUUGACUGGCGGAAUUCGUCGAGGAUCCUUUUAAUUUCCUGAGAGGACGCCUUUACUAUGGGAGCACAGGUGAGGAUGCGACGCAUGUGUGAGGCCGCUAAGAUCCUUUUAUUACCGUAGCGACGCUCCAGGGACGCCCACGAUGCCUCGUAAUUACCGUCCGUCAUCGGAGUGCAGGAGAUCCCCAGAAAACGUGGGCAGCGAGAUCGUGGGUAAAGUCGGUUCGCCUGACGACGCUUUGCCGGAAGAAUUCUCGUCUCCUGGCUUAUUCCGGUCUGGGGCGAGUAGGGCAAUCCUCUCCUCCAAGUCCACGACGUGCGAAAGGUAAGUACC